UUUCUUCUUCUUUUCUCUCCAGGGAAUGGCAAGUGUGACUGGUGUCUGCCUCUCUCUACCUGUCACCUCUAAGUGAGAAGAGUAGGGAGGGUACCCCCAAAGGGGUUGGUAACCCGCUCAGCUUAGCAAGGUCAGAGGGAGGCAUCUUUUCAGCCCAGGAGACAGGGUAUAGUAAUGAGGGCCUGGGUCGGCUGAGCAAACGAGCGAGCGAAGGCUGCUCACAGUCCGGAAAAGGGUGGGGCCGCCCUGGGUACGAGUAAAAAGGAGCAGCGGGAACUACAGCUGCCGCACUACCCUCUUCCCAGAACCUCCUCCUCCCUUAGCCUAGCAGCCCGGCUGGCUUGAGGCUGGAAGCGUCUCUGCGGUGAUCCGCUCCUCGUCAUCCAGCAGCUGCCUCGCUGCCCUCAGGCUCCGUUCUUUCCCAUCGCGGACCCGGCGCCAGCCCAAGUACAGGGCGAGGCCGAAAAGCACGAAACCUACGCUAAGACCCGCUGCCCCUGCCAGGUACACCGGCA
ensembl:antisense Gm29585 predicted gene 29585